CGGUGAUCUAGCCAUGGGCAGGUUGAAGGUUGGGUAACACUAACUGGAGGACCGAACCGACUAAUGUUGAAAAAUUAGCGGAUGACCUGUGGCUGGGGGUGAAAGGCCAAUCAAACCGGGAGAUAGCUGGUUCUCCCCGAAAGCUAUUUAGGUAGCGCCUCGUGAAUUCAUCUCCGGGGGUAGAGCACUGUUUCGGCUAGGGGGCCAUCCCGGCUUACCAACCCGAUGCAAACUGCGAAUACCGGAGAAUGUUAUCACGGGAGACACACGGCGGGUGCUAACGUCCGUCGUGAAGAGGGAAACAACCCAGACCGCCAGCUAAGGUCCCAAAGUCAUGGUUAAGUGGGAAACGAUGUGGGAAGGCCCAGACAGCCAGGAUGUUGGCUUAGAAGCAGCCAUCAUUUAAAGAAAGCGUAAUAGCUCACUGGUCGAGUCGGCCUGCGCGGAAGAUGUAACGGGGCUAAACCAUGCACCGAAGCUGCGGCAGCGACACUGUGUGUUGUUGGGUAGGGGAGCGUUCUGUAAGCCUGUGAAGGUGUGUCGUGAGGCAUGCUGGAGGUAUCAGAAGUGCGAAUGCUGACAUAAGUAACGAUAAAGCGGGUGAAAAGCCCGCUCGCCGGAAGACCAAGGGUUCCUGUCCAACGUUAAUCGGGGCAGGGUGAGUCGACCCCUAAGGCGAGGCCGAAAGGCGUAGUCGAUGGGAAACGGGUUAAUAUUCCCGUACUUGGUGUUACUGCGAAGGGGGGACGGAGAAGGCUAUGUUGGCCGGGCGACGGUUGUCCCGGUUUAAGCGUGUAGGUGUGUGUUCCAGGUAAAUCCGGUUCACUUUAACACUGAGGCGUGACGACGAGGCACUACGGUGCUGAAGCAACAAAUGCCCUGCUUCCAGGAAAAGCCUCUAAGCAUCAGGUAACAUCAAAUCGUACCCCAAACCGACACAGGUGGUCAGGUAGAGAAUACCAAGGCGCUUGAGAGAACUCGGGUGAAGGAACUAGGCAAAAUGGUGCCGUAACUUCGGGAGAAGGCACGCUGACACGUAGGUGAAGUGAUUUACUCAUGGAGCUGAAGUCAGUCGAAGAUACCAGCUGGCUGCAACUGUUUAUUAAAAACACAGCACUGUGCAAACACGAAAGUGGACGUAUACGGUGUGACGCCUGCCCGGUGCCGGAAGGUUAAUUGAUGGGGUCAGCGCAAGCGAAGCUCCUGAUCGAAGCCCCGGUAAACGGCGGCCGUAACUAUAACGGUCCUAAGGUAGCGAAAUUCCUUGUCGGGUAAGUUCCGACCUGCACGAAUGGCGUAAUGAUGGCCAGGCUGUCUCCACCCGAGACUCAGUGAAAUUGAACUCGCUGUGAAGAUGCAGUGUACCCGCGGCAAGACGGAAAGACCCCGUGAACCUUUACUAUAGCUUGACACUGAACAUUGAGCCUUGAUGUGUAGGAUAGGUGGGAGGCUUUGAAGUGUGGACGCCAGUCUGCAUGGAGCCGACCUUGAAAUACCACCCUUUAAUGUUUGAUGUUCUAACGUGGACCCGUUACCCGGGUUGCGGACAGUGUCUGGUGGGUAGUUUGACUGGGGCGGUCUCCUCCUAAAGAGUAACGGAGGAGCACGAAGGUUGGCUAAUCCUGGUCGGACAUCAGGAGGUUAGUGCAAUGGCAUAAGCCAGCUUGACUGCGAGCGUGACGGCGCGAGCAGGUGCGAAAGCAGGUCAUAGUGAUCCGGUGGUUCUGAAUGGAAGGGCCAUCGCUCAACGGAUAAAAGGUACUCCGGGGAUAACAGGCUGAUACCGCCCAAGAGUUCAUAUCGACGGCGGUGUUUGGCACCUCGAUGUCGGCUCAUCACAUCCUGGGGCUGAAGUAGGUCCCAAGGGUAUGGCUGUUCGCCAUUUAAAGUGGUACGCGAGCUGGGUUUAGAACGUCGUGAGACAGUUCGGUCCCUAUCUGCCGUGGGCGCUGGAGAACUGAGGGGGGCUGCUCCUAGUACGAGAGGACCGGAGUGGACGCAUCACUGGUGUUCGGGUUGUCAUGCCAAUGGCACUGCCCGGUAGCUAAAUGCGGAAGAGAUAAGUGCUGAAAGCAUCUAAGCACGAAACUUGCCCCGAG
rnacentral:rRNA from 1 species